rnacentral:rRNA from 1 species
CCUACGGGAGGCAGCAGUGAGGAAUAUUGGUCAAUGGGCGCUAGCCUGAACCAGCCAAGUAGCGUGAAGGAUGACUGCUCUAUGGGUUGUAAACUUCUUUUAUAUGGGAAUAAAGUGCAGUAUGUACACAGCUUUGCAUGUACCUUAUGAAUAAGGAUAGGCUAACUACGUGCCAGCAGCCGCGGUAAUACGGCGGAUCCGAGCGUUAUCCGGAUGUAUUGGGUGUAAAGGGAGCGUAGGCGGGUUGUUAAGUCAGAUGUGAAAGUUUGCGGCUCAACCGUAAGAUUGCAGUUGAUACUGGCAUCCUUGAGUACAGGAGAGGUAGGCGGAAUUCGUGGUGUAGCGGUGAAAUGCUUAGAUAUCACGAAGAACUCCGGUUGCGAAGGCAGCCUGCUGGACUGUAACUGACGCUGAUGCUCGAAAGUGUGGGUAUCAAACAGGAUUAGAUACCCUUGUAGUC